rnacentral:rRNA from 1 species
GUUAGCCUAACCGCAAGAGGCGACUACCACGGUCGAGAUUCAUGACUGGGGUG